GAAAAAAUACUGCUGAUGCGUGCCUUAUUGCUUACAAAGAUCCUUAUUCAGCUCACUUUGCCAGUAGUUUUUUCAAUGGUAUUUCUUUGAACUACAUUUUGGUUUUGGUUUUGUAUAACAUGAAAUGGAAUUAAUUCUCAUUGCUUUUGGUUUUGUAGUUUUUUUUUUUAAUUAUAUUCAUGAUUCAUGAGAUUAUAUGUGAUGUGUGUUCAAUCAGACUUGGUAGUCCUAAGGUUUAGAUUUUUGUAAUUAUUUUACUUAGAAAUACCAAGGGGCUUAUAGCUCAAUGGUGCUUCUAAUCAUAUGGCUUUUUGUGCUGUCAAUUAUCAGUGCAUGCAUGCUAGCAGCUAGCUUGGCAUCCAUCUUCACUAUCCUGCAACUAUCAUCUCUAUCCUGCAUCUAACAAUACAUAUCGUUUGCUAAGAAGUAUUUGAUAGAUAAACUCUUGCUGAAUCUAGGAUUGUUAAAUUAAAAACCAUGCAUCAUGCAUAUGCCCUUCAGCAUGACUCAAUGAGUUCAAGGCUUGCAAUAAUGGAUUAAGCUUAUUUUCACUAUAUUUGCUUUGAUUAUGUUACAUUUUCUGCACAUGAAUUAUGGUUUCUAUUGUCAUUAUAUAAGACUUUGAAUUAGUUAAGAAAAUUGUGUUUCAAGUUUGGGAGCUUUUACACAAAAACUGGUGCUUGUAUUUUGGACGGAACAUGCUUCUUUUGUUACUUAACUCUCAUACCAUAUAUUUGACCUACUAUUGGAUGAAACAUGUUGCAUUUUGUUACUUUACUUUCUCAACUUUCAUACCAUAUAUUUGACACACUUCUUUUAUUGCAGGUGCACCUAUAAUAGGUAUGCUUUUUGAGAAGAUAGAAUAAGAUACUGAUGCACAUGAUAAGAACGUUGAGGGAUAAGGAGAAGAAAAAGGAAUAGAAUGGUAAAACUGAUGCAUAGUAUAGGGAGGAUCGUGUAAUGUACAUAUAUGCUAUCAUACAUAUAAAACCACACAUUCAAUUUGUUGACUCUAUAUUUGAAGAGAUUAUUAUGCAAUGGCUUAAAUUUUGAAUUUGGAGUUAGACAAAAGUUAUGUAUUUUAGGGCUUUACGAAAACUAUGAUUUAAUUUUUUUUCUUAUUAUGUUUUCUAUCCUUGGGCAAGUGAAUUAUGUAACCUUAGUUGUAGUAAUAACUUCAUUCUAUUUCUUAACAAGUACAUUGAAGAAUAUUUGAAGUACAUUUUCAUUUCUA
rnacentral:lncRNA from 1 species